rnacentral:rRNA from 1 species
CCUACGGGAGGCUGCAGUGGGGAAUAUUGGGCAAUGGGCGCAAGCCUGAACCAGCAACGUCGCGUGAAGGAAGAAGGCCCUCGGGUUGUAAAAUUCUUUUAUUCGGGACGAAACAAAUGACGGUACCGAAUGAAUAAGCAACGGCUAACUACGUGCCAGCAGCCGCGGGAAUACGUAGGUGGCAAGCGUUAUCCGGAUUUAAUGGGUGUAAAGGGAGUGUAGGAGGGAGGGAAAGUCAGACGUGAAAUUCCAGGGCUCAACCCUUGAACUUCGUUUGAAACUGUUCUUCUUGAGUGAUGGAGAGGCAGGCGGAAUUCCGUGUGUAGCGGUGAAAUGCGUAGAUAUACGGAGGAACACCGAUUGCGAAGGCAGCCUGCUGGACAUUAACUGACGUUGAGGCGCGAAAGCGUGGGUAGCAAACAGGAUUAGAUACCCUUGUAGUC